rnacentral:sRNA from 1 species
CGUGACCGACGCCGCGGAGCUUUGGAGCACCUGCUUCACACCGGACAGCCUGGCGGCCCUCAAAGCCCGUUUUGGCCUGAGUGCGGCUGAGGACAUCACCCCCCGGUUCAGGUGAGACCCAAGCAGGGAGGAAGGGUGGGUGGGGAGGAGGAGGGUCUGCCACAGCUCUCAGCACCUCUCCUUUCCCAGGGCAGCCUGUGAGCAGCAAGCUGUGGCUCUGACCCUGCAUGAGGACAGAGCAUCCCUGACGCUUUCAGGGGGGCCCUCGGCACUGGCCUUUGACCUCUCCAAGGUACCAGGCCCAGAGGCAGCCCCCAGGCUGCAGGCGCUGACACUGGGCCUGGCAAAACGCGUGUGGAGCCUGGAGCGGCGACUGGCAGCUGCAGAAGAGACAGCUGCCAGCCCCAGGAAGAGCCCCCGGCCUGCAGGGCCUCAGCUCUUCUUACCAGACCCAGAUCCUCAGAGAGGUGGCCCUGGACCUGGAGUCAGGAGGCGGUGUCCGGGAGAGUCGCUCAUCAACCCCGGGUUCAAGAGUAAGAAACCAGCUGGUGGUGUGGACUUUGAUGAGACCUGAAGGCGCAGCACAAGUGUGGCCCCGCGGGGAGUCCGCCUGUGAGGCGAGAGGCAGUCUUCGAGGCCCCCAUCAGAGACCCCAACCCCCGCCCCCAGCCACCAACUCCACCUGCCUGUCCUGGGCCAGGACUAAGACGGCUCCUCAAAUUCCUUCCCUGUCAAAUAAACGGCUCCCUUGGUUGG